rnacentral:tRNA from 1 species
GGGCGAGUGGUGAAACUGGCAUACACGUUAGCUUCAGGAGCUAAUGGGAGAAAUCCCGUGGAGGUUCAAAUCCUCUCUCGCCCA